GGGAUUAAAGGCGUGUACGUACCAUCAU
rnacentral:piRNA from 1 species